GCGAACGCUGGCGGCAGGCCUAACACAUGCAAGUCGAACGGAUCCUUCGGGAUUAGUGGCGGACGGGUGAGUAACACGUGGGAACGUGCCCUUUGGUUCGGAACAACUCAGGGAAACUUGAGCUAAUACCGGAUGUGCCCUUCGGGGGAAAGAUUUAUCGCCAUUGGAGCGGCCCGCGUCUGAUUAGCUAGUUGGUGAGGUAACGGCCCACCAAGGCGACGAUCAGUAGCUGGUCUGAGAGGAUGAUCAGCCACACUGGGACUGAGACACGGCCCAGACUCCUACGGGAGGCAGCAGUGGGGAAUCUUGCGCAAUGGGCGAAAGCCUGACGCAGCCAUGCCGCGUGAAUGAUGAAGGUCUUAGGAUUGUAAAAUUCUUUCAGCGGGGACGAUAAUGACGGUACCCGCAGAAGAAGCUCCGGCUAACUUCGU
rnacentral:rRNA from 1 species